rnacentral:lncRNA from 1 species
GGUUAACUGUACAAAAGCUACAUACACAUCCAUGAUUUCACCUGAGCUCAGCAGAGGCCCAUGGCAGGACAGUGCAGAGGCACAGCUGACGGGGCUCUUUGCUUGUUCCUGAUGCUCUUUCCCGAAGGGGGCCCGUACAUGGAGUCAUUCAGUGGCUGGGGCCAUAAAUGAGGGCCGCACCAGCGGCUCAGCACUGCUUAUUCUAAAAGGACACAAGGACUUUGGAGCGCAGCCAAAAUGCCUGGAACAAAAGGUAAUAAGGCGGACAAGAAAUCCACCACCAAGCAACCACAGAGUCCUAAGGAGCAGCCGAAAAAAGGUGAUCAGAAAGGAGAUGAUGCCAAAAAGCAAGGAGGACAGCCGAAGGGAGAGAAGCAAUAAUUUCCAGGCCUUCGUGAAGCUGGCUCUGGAGACUCUCCUGGGCUCUUGUCGACGCAAGCAUGGGGGCCCCCGGGGGAGGCAGGGCUAAGGUUUACUCCUCCCACCAGCAUCCAUCUGACCGUCGCUAGACAGAGCUUGGCCUAAGCUGCCGACAGUCUGUCCCUUCUGUACCUCCUCACAUGGGUCUCGCGUUUGAAUAACACUGGUGAUCUGCUCAUUGGAAGUUGGGCUAAUAUAAAGACUCCAGAGACUCUGUGACCCCGCCCUCAUCUGUUAAUUUGACUCCGCCCAUGUCAUAGAUCUCAACUGUGCUGUACAUAAAUGAACUGAUUUGCAAAUAAACAUGAUUUCAUACACUUGCCAUAAUUUGACAUUUUGACUGAUUUUUAAAUCAGAUUAUUUAUUUAUUUACACACACACAAUACUAUUCAAAAGUUUGUGGCCA